rnacentral:sRNA from 1 species
GCUGGGCGCGGUGGCGCACACCUGUAAUCCCAGCAGCUCAGGAGGCUGAGACAGGAGGAUCCAGAGUUCACAGCCAGCCUCAACAAAAACAAGGUGCUAAGCAACUCGGUGAGACUCUGUCUCUA